rnacentral:rRNA from 1 species
GACGAACGCUGGCGGCGUGCUUAACACAUGCAAGUCGAACGGUGAAGCCCUUCGGGGUGGAUCAGUGGCGAACGGGUGAGUAUCACGUGAGCAACCUGCCCCUGGCUCUGGGACAACCACUGGAAACGGUGGCUAAUACCGGAUACGACCCGCCUCGGCAUCGAGUGUGGGUGGAAAGUUUUUCGGCUGGGGAUGGGCUCGCGGCCUAUCAGCUUGUUGGUGAGGUGAAGGCUCACCAAGGCGACGACGGGUAGCCGGCCUGAGAGGGCGACCGGCCACACUGGGACUGAGACACGGCCCAGACUCCUACGGGAGGCAGCAGUGGGGAAUAUUGCACAAUGGGCGAAAGCCUGAUGCAGCGACGCCGCGUGAGGGAUGACGGCCUUCGGGUUGUAAACCUCUUUCAGCUCCGAAGAAGCGAAAGUGACGGUAGGAGCAGAAGAAGCACCGGCUAACUACGUG